rnacentral:rRNA from 1 species
GGCUACUGCUAUUGGGAUUCGACUAAGCCAUGCGAGUCUAUGGACUUCGGUCCAUGGCGGACGGCUCAGUAACACGUGGCUAACCUACCCUCAGGUGGGGCAUAACCUCGGGAAACUGAGGAUAAUACCCCAUAGGAAAAGAGGUCUGGAAUGAUCCUUCCCUGAAAGGAUAUCCGCCUGAGGAUGGGGCUGCGUCCGAUUAGGUAGUUGGUGGGGUAAUGGCCCACCAAGCCUACGAUCGGUACGGGCCUUGAGAGAGGGAGCCCGGAGAUGGGGACUGAGACACGGCCCCAGGCCCUACGGGGCGCAGCAGGCGCGAAACCUCCACAAUGCACGAAAGUGCGAUGGGGGAACCCCAAGUGCCUAUGCACAGCAUAGGCUUUUCCCAAGUGUAAACAGCUUGGGGAAUAAGGGCUGGGCAAGUCCGGUGCCAGCAGCCGCGGUAACACCGGCGGCCCGAGUGGUGGCCACUCUUAUUGGGCCUAAAGCGUCCGUAGCCGGUCCAGUAAGUCCCUGUUUAAAUCCUACGGCUUAACCGUAGGGCUGGCAGGGAUACUGCUGGACUUGGGACCGGGAGAGGACGAGGGUACUCCAGGGGUAGCGGUGAAAUGCGUUGAUCCCUGGAGGACCACCUAUGGCGAAGGCACUCGUCUGGAACGGGUCCGACGGUGAGGGACGAAAGCCAGGGGCGCGAACCGGAUUAGAUACCCGGGUAGUCCUGGCCGUAAACUCUGCGGACUAGGUGUCGUCUGGGCCUCGGGCCCAGGCGGUGCCGAAGGGAAGCCAUUAAGUCCGCCGCCUGGGGAGUACGGUCGCAAGACUGAAACUUAAAGGAAUUGGCGGGGGAGCACCACAANCGGGUGGAGCCUGCGGUUU